rnacentral:rRNA from 1 species
GGGGAAUUUUCCGCAAUGGGCGAAAGCCUGACGGAGCAAUACCGCGUGAGGGAGGAAGGCUCUUGGGUCGUAAACCUCUUUUCUCAGGGAAGAACACAAUGACGGUACCUGAGGAAUAAGCAUCGGCUAACUCCGUGCCAGCAGCCGCGGUAAUACGGAGGAUGCAGGCGUUAUCCGGAAUGAUUGGGCGUAAAGCGUCCGCAGGUGGCGAUGUAAGUCUGCUGUUAAAGAGUCUAGCUCAACUAGAUAAGAGCAGUGGAAACUACAUAGCUAGAGUACGUUCGGGGCAGAGGGAAUUCCUGGUGUAGCGGUGAAAUGCGUAGAGAUCAGGAAGAACACNNNNGGCGAAGGCGCUCUGCUAGGCCGUAACUGACACUGAGGGACGAAAGCUAGGGGAGCGAAUGGGAUUAGAUACCCCAGUAGUC